rnacentral:misc_RNA from 1 species
GAUGAAGAACGUAGCGAAAUGCGAUAAGUAAUGUGAAUUGCAGAAUUCAGUGAAUCAUCGAAUCUUUGAACGCACCUUGCGCUCCUUGGUAUUCCGAGGAGCAUGCCUGUUUGAGUGUCAUUAAAUUCUCAACCUUUAUCUUUUUUUUAAAUUGAUAAAUGGCUUGGACUUGGGGGUUUGCUGGCGAAAGUCAACUCCUCUGAAAUGUAUUAGCUGGUUGCCUUGUGUGAACUUGUCUAUUGGUGUGAUAAUUAUCUACGCCGUGGGCUGUUUGCCGUUUUAGCACUGCUUCUAACUGUCUGUUAACUCGGACAAUAUAUGACAAUUUGACCUCAAAUCAGGUAGGACUACCCGCUGAACUUAAGCAUAUCAAUAAGCGGAGGA